GAAAUGCGGAUAUGGGACUGAGA
rnacentral:piRNA from 1 species